rnacentral:rRNA from 1 species
CGGCGGACGGGUGAGUAACGCGUGGGUAACCUGCCUUGUACUGGGGGACAACAGUUAGAAAUGACUGCUAAUACCGCAUAAGCGCACAGUAUCGCAUGAUACGGUGUGAAAAACUCCGGUGGUACAAGAUGGACCCGCGUCUGAUUAGCUAGUUGGUAAGGUAACGGCUUACCAAGGCGACGAUCAGUAGCCGACCUGAGAGGGUGACCGGCCACAUUGGGACUGAGACACGGCCCAA